GAUGAACGCUAGCGGCAGGCUUAACACAUGCAAGUCGAGGGGUAGAAGUUGCUUGCAACUUUGAGACCGGCGCACGGGUGCGUAACGCGUAUGCAACCUACCUUUUACAGAGGGAUAGCCCAGAGAAAUUUGGAUUAAUACCUCAUAGUAUAUAACCUUCGCAUGUUGGUUAUAUUAAAGUUCCAACGGUAAAAGAUGGGCAUGCGUCCUAUUAGCUAGUUGGUGUGGUAACGGCACACCAAGGCGACGAUAGGUAGGGGUCCUGAGAGGGAGAUCCCCCACACUGGUACUGAGACACGGACCAGACUCCUACGGGAGGCAGCAGUGAGGAAUAUUGGACAAUGGGCGCAAGCCUGAUCCAGCCAUGCCGCGUGCAGGAAGAAGCAUCUAUGGUGUGUAAACUGCUUUUGUACAGGAAGAAACACCCCUUCGUGAAGGGACUUGACGGUACUGUAAGAAUAAGGACCGGCUAACUCCGUGCCAGCCGCCGCCGUAAAAC
rnacentral:rRNA from 1 species